CCUAGCCGCACAACUGCAGCCUGGCGAGUAUCUGCUUGGAGACUCAGGAUAUCCUCUCGAGCCAUGGCUGCUUGUUCCAGUACCUGGCAGCCAUGCCGGCACCAGCUCUGAAGGCCACUACAACCAGGAGCACGCAUCCAUGCGCAAUGUUGUGGAGAGAUGUAUCGGGGUGUUGAAAAGCAAGUUCCGCUGCUUGCAGCGCUUUCGGACACUGCUGUACAGCCCCGAUAGAGCAGCGCGAAUCAUUUAUGCAUGCGUUGCUCUCCAUAACAUUGCCUUGGAGGCGGGCGACUGGACAUUGGAGGAUUAUGGUGGGGAAGUGCCACCAGCUGAGGAGCCAGAGGAGCCAGGAGACAUCCAGGUGCUGGCACCACAAGACGUGUUCCUCAGAGGAAGGCAGCAGCGCAGCGCAGUUGUCAACCUUUUCUGAAGGACACAGGAAUGGUGCUCAGCGAUGUCCUGCGCUAUGGCGCGCACCUGUUCCAGGAUCCCCUCCUGGGCUGCUGCCGUCCGUUCUGCCGCGACAGCGAGGCGGGUUGUUGUAGCC
rnacentral:lncRNA from 1 species